AUUUACUGGGGCGAAAGCGCGCGUAGGCGGCUAAUUAAGUCAAAUGUGAAAUCCCCGAGCUUAACUUGGGAAUUGCAUUCGAUACUGGUUAGCUAGAGUGUGGGAGAGGAUGGUAGAAUUCCAGGUGUAGCGGUGAAAUGCGUAGAGAUCUGGAGGAAUACCGAUGGCGAAGGCAGCCAUCUGGCCUAACACUGACGCUGAGGUGCGAAAGCAUGGGGAGCAAACAGGAUUAGAUACCCUGGUAGUCCAUGCCGUAAACGAUGUCUACUAGCCGUUGGGGCCUUUGAGGCUUUAGUGGCGCAGCUAACGCGAUAAGUAGACCGCCUGGGGAGUACGGUCGCAAGACUAAAAACUCAAAUGAAUUGACGGGGGCCCGCACAAGCGGUGGAGCAUGUGGUUUAAUUCGAUGCAACGCGAAGAACCUUACCUGGCCUUGACAUAGUAAGAACUUUCCAGAGAUGGAUUGGUGCCUUCGGGGAACUUACAUACAGGGUGCUGCAUGGGCUGUCGUCAGCUCGUGUCGUGAGAUGUUGGGUUAAGUCCCGCACGAGCGCAACCCUUUUCCUUAUUUGCCAGCGAGUAAUGUCGGGAACUUUAAGGGAUACUGCCAGUGACAAACUGGA
rnacentral:rRNA from 1 species